rnacentral:snRNA from 1 species
UCGUUUUGGCAACACAUAUACUAAAAUUGGAACGAUACGGAGAAGAUUAGCAUGGCCCCUGUGCAAGGAUGACAUGCAAAUUUGUGAAGCAUUCCAUAUUUUU